UAGAUACAGAGUUCUUUCAAAGGGCAAUUGAGGCUAAAUUUGGUCACGCAACCCAAUGUAACAGUGUCUAGGAUUAGGUCCGGAAAACCCAAGAGGAAAAUCAUAUUCAGACGGCCACCCUACUUCAUGGACAGAGAACACAGAAGAAACUAAGACUUCCAGCUCAGACUUCCAGCCACCCCAACUUAUGCUUUCUCACUUAAAGUUGGCAUGAAACAAAUGCAAGAACAGUCUAGGCGACGACUUUGAAGUUGGGGACGGACAAGCCUGUGCAAUGAUGAGGUGGAGAACAGCAUUGACCUCAGAGCUUUGCUAUUGUGACUGGAGUGUUCCAUGAAUUGCCUGUUCAAGAACCUUCAGGUUGAUGGUGUCACACACCAAAUACCCAGCAUGCUUACAGCUAGCACUGCUGUAGGAACCAGUCCAGCUCCCCAGCCCCCCACCCCCUCUUAGGCCCAAAGAUUACCCAGAGGACACUGGGUUUAUAGAAUAUUGGACCUGUGUGUGUGUGUGCCCUAGAAAGAACUACAGUAGCUGUCUACUCCA